UUUUAGAUUUUAAUUUAAAGUCAAAUCUGCUCAAUGAAAAUAUUUAAAUAGCUGCAGUAUUUUGACUGUACAAAGGUAGCAAAAUAAAUAGUUUUUUAAUUAAAAACUGGAAUGAAAGAUUUAAUGAAAUAUAGACUGUCUCAAAUUUAUUAAUAUUAAAAUUUUUUUUUUUAGUAAAAAUACUAAAAUAAUAUUAAAAGACGAGAAGACCCUAUAGAUUUUAAUAAAUUUAUUUAUUUAAAAUAUUAAAUUUAUUUAAUUUAAAUAUUUAUAUUUAUUUAAUUGGGGCAAUUAUUAAAUUAAAAAAACUUUAAAUAUUUAAAACAUAAAUUAAUGAUAAUUUAAUCUUUUAUUAAAAAUAUAAAAUAAAAUACCUUAGGGAUAACAGCAUAAUUUUUUUAAAUANAUCUUAUUGAUAAAAAANAUUAU
rnacentral:rRNA from 1 species